rnacentral:lncRNA from 1 species
UUUUAUUUUCGUCUAUAUUUAAUACUCCAUGCAUACGUCUAAAGAUUCGAUGUGACAAGAAAUCUGAAAAAUUUUACAAAAUUUUUUGGGAACUAAACAAGGCCGCAAUAUCUAACACGGAAAAUAAAUAUACAUACCUAAAAAUUUAGAACAGUCCAUCAAUUUAAUAAAUUAAUAAUAAACAAGUAAACACUAAUAACAUAAGAAAAACGAUUAAACAAAUAAGCUACACCCACACCUUAUUGAUGGCAUGUAGUACUUCUAUAUAUAAUAUUAAUAAAUGGGAAUCAAAGUAUAAAAAUGACAAAAUUAAAGCUACCCUAAAAGCCCUAAAAAAUAACAAAGAAAAAGCAAUCGACUGAAUGAACACGUAAAAGCCUCGGAUAAUUGAAGUUAUGUAAUUCUAAAAAAAUAUAGGGAGGAAUAAAGAAUGUCAUCUUCAAGAGUUUCUAAUACUUUUAUCUCAAAAAAAUUGUGCAAACCGGUCCCUUAUUUAUGAUUUUUUGCAUCAGGAACUCCGAUUUUGUUUGUAUACCCUUUUAAGGCCUUCCACAAGAUCUUCUGUCUUAUGUUUUUUCUCACCUGGAACCAUGUCUUUUCUCCUUUUUCUUUCCCACCCCUUCUACUUCUUAGCCUCGGACGCGGAGGAGCAGGGCGUCGGUUAAUUUAGUUUUGGAUAAUUGAUAAAAUUUAGAGACUAAUCCUAAUGUGAAGUGUGUAGACAUGUAAGGAUGGUCCCAUGCCAAGUGGUGGAGCUAGAGAUGAUGAUGGUGAUGACCAUAAGAUAAUCAAUUGCUCAACUUGAAAAAGAAGAAAGAGAAAAACAAAACCCGUUUGAUAAAGGUAAAGGUAUAACAUAGAAUGGAUUUUGUUUUGUACUCAAGACAUUAUCGAUGGCGUGAGUGAUUUAGGAUCGAUAGUCAUACUGUGAAGAGGGAAAAUUUAUGGCUAAAGCAGUUAUAAAGUGCCACUAGAUGAAUUUUUAUGAGCAUAUGCAUUAGGAACCUAAUGUGCUAAUAUUGACCCUUGUAAAAUGCUUUCAAAAAUGCUAAUACAUGUACACAUGGGUUAUACACUUAGUGGUUAGCAUCAUAGAAGCAAGGUGAAGAGGUUGCGACUUAGAAAAAGAAAAGGAGGCGCUGGUAGAGGACCGGACACUGCGUAGCUCCUUACCGGAGGCUGGGUCAGAGUCCGGUCAGUGUUGACUGGCGAGCACAGAGGUUGUGUUUCUAGGGUUGAGUAUCAAGGAUCUGCGAAAUCAGUCACCUUCUAGUAAAGACGGACGCACGAGACCGGAUAUCGGGUGAACACUAUUCACCGUCUGGUCUGACUGAUGUGGCGUGCAGUGAUGAGCGGAGGGAGGAUUGGACACAGAGGUGAGUUCGGUCACUAGGGACCAGAUGAAUCUGAUGGCAUUUUUGCAUUUUCGGAGCUGUCUGAGUUGCGAUCAGACUCUAGGGUCUAGCGUCUAGUCACUUUUGCAAGGUGCGUACGGUCAACCUCUAACAGCGCUGUGAUUUAUUUUGACCGUUGAGAUUCGACUCACUGAGGUCAAAGAGAAAGACACAUGGCGACAAUCUGAGCACCAGACGCUGAGGGCGUGCGCCCGAUCACCCUCACCUACGCGUUCGGUUGUUGCGCAAGUCGUGUGGUCAGUGAGCCAACGGCUCUAUCUCUUUGGGGGCUUAUAAAUAGUAUUUGGCUGGCUCCAAGAGAUCUCUCUUGUCACUUUAACAAACUUGAUAUCCUUGUGAGCCUAAGCAAACACCUCCCACUUAUCUUCAUCAUUGAUUAAUCAUUAUAAUAAGAUUAGGAGUGAUUCCAAGUGCAUUUGCUUAAGUGAUUGCAUCUAGUAGCACGUGGGGAUUGUUUAGGCUAUAGAAUUCUUAUUACUCUUAGUGGUUGUCUCUACCUAGACGACUUAGAUCAGCGGUGGAGAUCCAGCAUGUGUUGGUGAUUGUUCGAGGCCAGCUCCGAUGAUCUUGUGAGGGAUUCUUGUGCCUUCCUCGGCGGAGCACCAAAGGCAACUCUAGUGGAUUGUGCAUUUCAUUGAGCUACCUGAUAGAUUCUUGCAGUGUCCUACAUGAGGACGAGGUUCGUGCAAUACCUAUUAGCCGUCGAACCACCAAGUGUUGGUCGACAUAACGGGGACUAGCGUGUCGGCAACCACGUGAACUUCGGAAGAAAAAUCUUAUGUCUCUUGCCAUCUUUGGUAUUUCCUAGUGAUUAGAUUGUCUACUUAUUGAUUGGUUCACUUUCUCGACGCAAUGGUAUAUCGAUCACACCUCUCCUUUACUUAUCGUAGCUUGUUCUCUUGUGUAGACACUUUAGGUAGCUCUCUAGUGUAAGUAGUGACUUAUCAAGUGUGUGCUUACUGAUCAUAGAAACUAGAAUUGCUUGGAUAGGUGGCUUAUAACCCUCUUGGUAGAGCUAGAGCAAAAAAUUUUGCUUGGUGUUUAUCUAACUUGUGCUCUUGUAUUUUGUAGAUUUUAAAUUAGACUAUUCACCCCUCUCUAGCCAUAUUAGGACCUUUAAGUCAGAUAAUACCCUUAGAAAUUUUUUAUUUAGGGUUAUAAAUUAGUGACAGGGACUGAAUUUCCGCAAACAAAGCAGAUUUUGGCUUGCCAUGAAACACUGAACUCUGAUUAACAAAAUAGGUUAAACUCUAGUCAUAUCACUUCUUGCAGACUCAAUGGACAAGGGUAUCAUUAUAGGCAUACUAAUUAUAUCGUAACACAUCCCAAUCUCCCUAGCCAUUGUGCCGCACUCUCCUCCCGCCCCUCCCUCAUUCGCGUAGAACCCGCAGUCCUCGAGCUAUGCCAACUUUCCCUCUCCUCUAGCCCGUCUCUCUAGAUUCGCUCGUUCCCCACAAAGUUAGCGCCAUCGGGCGCCUCACCAUGCCCUAGCACCACCGGUGGUAGCCUCCUCCUCGCCACCCCUCACUCGACAGCCCCUCGUCCUCGCCACCCCUCGCCCGGCAGCCCGAAGCAGCAAGUGGUGGUGGCUGCCUUGGAGCAGCAGUGACAGCGACCUCCAUGGCCUUGAGUGCGGCAACAUCGAGUUUGGUUGUCGACCACCUUCUCCUCCAUGCCCUCGUGUAGGCACCAACCACCUUCGCCUCCACAGCUCCAUGCCACCAGCACAGUAACACUCCCUUUCACCCUCUCUCUUAGUGGGCCUCAAGUCGGGCCAGUCUACUAAAAAGAUCGUGCUCAUCAGGCAAGCCCGGCACAAAAAGUGGCCGUCGACGAGGCUCGGUGGACUAGGGUGGCAUGUUGUGCCUUUUCUGGCCAUCCUGAUCGGGCCGUGCUUGGCCUAGGGAUGUGUCAUGCUAGGCAGGGUAGCCCGAAUGCUCAUCUUUAACUAGGGCCUUGUUUACUUCCUAAAAAAUUUUGCAAAAUUUUUCAGAUUCCCCGUCACAUCGAAUCUUUAGACGUAUGCAUGAAGUAUUAAAUAUAGACGAAAAUAAAAACUAAUUACAUAGUUUGGUCGGAAUUGACGAGACGAAUCUUUUGAGCCUAGUUAGUCUAUGAUUGGACAAUAUUUAUCAAAUACAAACGAAAUUAGUACUAUUCACAUUUUGCAAAAUAUUUUGGAACUAAACAAGGCCUAUCUCCACUGUCAGAAGUGUGUAUCUAUAGAUCUUUUUUUUCUCUGUUAUAUAAAAAAAACGACUUCUUUUUCUCUUUCCUCCACAUCAACAAAUAACUACCGCUGACGUUCAACCGUAUAAUAUGCUUGUAUUUAUACUUCAAUCUGUUGGUAUUCUAGAUAAAGCUAGAGAAAAAACUUAUAAUUUGGAAUUUGAACGGAGUUCACAAUAAGAUUGUCCGAGUUGCAACGACGGAUCUCUCGAAUAGUCAAUACUCUCCUCAGUUGGUACGCGGUGAUGCCCAUCGAUCCGUACGCGUCGAUGGAUACAAUAUAAUAACGUUUUCCUGGCCGUGGCAUCAUCUGACGCGGAUAGGAUGCUGCUGGCUGCUGCUAUCUAUCCCACUCGAGGCACUCGCGCAUCACUAUUGCACCACUUCGACGUGUGCCAUAUCACCCAGCGAUCAUCUCCGGAAAACCCAACGAUCCAGGAACUUCCGCCUAUGCAAGCACUUAAAUAACUAGUCUGGUCACGUGCUCUGUGCCCGUACGUGUACGCCGCGCGCCACGCAGCUUUGCUUGUGCAGUCUGGUCGUGUUGGUUAUGAUACUUGCUCCUAUGUACAUACUACAUACCACAGGCACACCACUCGUGCAUCACGUUGCCCGCUCGUGCGGCACUGCUAUAUAUUGGGCGUGUCAAAGUGUCCUCGUUGCACCAACGACUAAGAAGCGCCACUUGCAGUUGCACAGCGCGGAGCCCCACAAGUAAACUAAUUGAAGGCACGCGCAACUUGGUUCGCGCGCGCGGCUGCUCAUCAUCUCAGUCAGCCAUGGCUUUGGAUGCGAAAGCUCUGCAGGCGGCGAAAGAGGCAGCAGUCCCUGUUGCCCUCGGCGCUGGCACCGCGAGGAGGCCGCCGCCGUCGUCUUGGAACGGCGGCGCUGCUUCACCUGCGACGACGACGUCCACCGCCACGUCCGUGGGCGUGCCGGUCCCGGUGGUGAUGCUCUGUAGCGACGACAGGAGGAUGAAGGAGGAACUCGUCGCGUGGGCCAAGGCUGUGGCGUCCUUGGUUGUCAGGGAGUCCUUGCACUGCUGAUCGAGGCCUGUGGCAUGUUUCCUUAACUUGCAGCCCCAGAAAAAGCUCUACCGCACCGGGGACGAAGCGAUAAUUCGGCCAUUUCUUCUUGGAGGAGUACUGGAGUUAAACAACUUUCACGGAUUCAGGACGAAAUUGCUCGUGUUUGUUCACCUUGCUAUGAGAGGCUGCUUCUGGUUCGUGAUCGACUGCUGACCAUGUGGGGCUGUACAUACAUACUUUGGCAAAUAGAACAUUUUAUCUACAAUUUAGCUAAAAAUGAAUAUCCUGACAGAAGACUAUAUUGUACUAUACAUUUUGAUAUGGAGUAUUGGCAAAAAUAAAUGUGUCGAUGUUAUGUACUAUAGUAAUGUCAUCUUCUCUUUUGUUACUUCGACCGGAUCAAGAUUUCUACUCAUAUUCAACACAGUAUAUAUCCAGCUUUUUUUUUUGGCUGACAAAGGUGGAUUUCCCGACAAUUUCUGAACUCUUAAGAUUUGUGUUUAAAUUUUCCUGAAGAGUCUUGGUUUAGGACUCGUGAAUGAAAGAAAAAGGGACAACAAUGGAUAAACAGAACACAUAUGAUCCGUGUGUGGUGGUCUCAACAUAGGAGUGUACUCUGUCAGAGGCAGUGUGCUUGACAUUUUGCAAAACGAAAGUGCUACGGUACCCAAAAUCUAAAAAAAUUCGGAACUGAACAAGGCCUCAGGCCUUGUUUAGUUUCAAAAAAAAAUUUACAAAAUAGACAAUGUAGCAUUUCGUUUGUAUUUGACAAAUAUUGUCCAAUCAUGGACUAAUUAGGCUUAAAAGUUUUGUCUCGCAAAUUACAGACAAACUAUGGAAUUAGUUAUUAUUUUUAUCUAUAUUUACUGAUUCAUGCAUAUACCGCAAGAUUUGAUGUAACAGAUAAUUUAAAUUUUUUUGCAAAAUUUUGUGGGAAGUAAACAGCUAGGCAAAAUGUCGCCUCGACAGCCUAGCAGGACGCAAGCAAAUCCUAGCCACAGGCCGGUCACACCAAGAUUAAGGCCUUGUUUAGUUGGAUAAAAAAUUUGGCUUUGGUUACUAUAGUAUUUUUGUUUGUAUUUGGCAAUUGUCUAAUUAUAGACUAACUAGUUUUAAAAGAUUCGUUUUGUAAAUUACAGGUAAAUUGUACAAUUAAUUAUUUUUUAAUCUAUCUUUUAUGUUCUAUACAUAUGUUUAAAGAUUCGAUGUGACUGAGAAUCUUCAAAAUUUUUAGAAACUAAAGACCUAAUUAAUUAUCCCGGCCCGCACUCUACCAUGCUAAAACAACAUCGAUCCUCUAGAGCUGCCAACGGAGUACUCCAUCAUCAGUUUCACACUAGCUAGCUAGCUAGCUAUAUGUGCCUCUUCGCGCAUCGAGAUCGAUCCCCCGGCCGCCCGCGGCGGCUGACGCCGACGAUGAUGCAUGCUACGCAGCGUGCGCGCCCGCGCCCUCGUUGGCCUGCGUCGCAUAGUGUGAUCGCGCGGAAGGCGGAACCAAUGCAACCGCCAGCUAGCUCCGGCCGCCUUGGCAGCGCCGUGCACUCCAUCAUGCUACCCAACAACACAGCCAACUGCUCCUGUCGUUUGGUUGCAGCGCGCGCGACACGCGCGAUCCGGGGAAAAAGGUGACAGACCAACCGCGCGCGCCACCUGCGACGAAAGCGUUGCGUUGCGCGCGUGUUCCACCACCAUCACACGAGACGCCGGACGCCGGACGAACGGAUCCGUGUCAGUCAAACUUUUUAAAAUUUGACUAACUUUAUAGAAAAGAGUAACAACAUCUAUAAUGUAAAAUGCACAUUAUAUGAAAAUAUAUUCUAUGAUGAAUCUAAUAAUACUAGUUUGAUACUAUAAAUCUUAGCAUUUUUUUCUAGAAAUUUAGUCAAAGUUUAAAAAGUUUGACUUAGAACAACUCUAGAAAUUGACUCUUUCGUGGACGGAGAGAGUAAUAUAUAUAGUAGGAGUGGGUACGUACUUGCGCAGAGACACCAUGGACGGAUGCAUACGGUAGAUAGUGGGUGCAGCUGCAUCCAUACAAAAAUAAAAAAUAGUAACUAUAGCUAAAUUUCAGUAUUUUCACAUCCUUGAAAUAAAAGUCUACAUAAGUCACCCUAAAUUUUCUAACGCGUUGCAUGCAUGCAGUCAUUGUCGAUGACUCAACGCUGCGGUUACACGUACAAUGAUAUUAAUUACUCCCACACGCGUAAAAUGAUAUUAAUUAGGUCUUGUUUAGUUCACUCUAAAAACCAAAAAAAAAAUUAAUAUUCUUCAUCAUAUCAAAUCUUGCGGCACAUACAUAAAGCAUUAAAUAUUGUAAAAAACCAAAAAAUAAUUACGCAAUUUGCCUAUAAAAUCGCGAGAUGAAUCUUUUAAACCUGAUUAGUCCAUAAUUAUAUAAUAAUUUUCAAAUAAAAACAAAAUUACUACGGUACUCAAAACCAAAAAAAAUUGAAAACUAAACAAGGCCUUACUCCCACACGCUCUUGUGGGUCACUUUCACAAUGCUUAUUGAUCCGCCACGUGCUACUCGUGCAUCACAUGCCCGCCUCCUUUUAUGCGGCAGCAGCACUAGUAUAUAUAGGGCGUGUUUGUGAGGGUGGCCCAGCUGGGCUUUGCGCCCGUGGGCUGCAAGUGCGCGUGUUUGCGCACUUGGCCCAGGUUGCAGCCCGGCUCUGGGUGGCCAAAACCGCCCUCUCCGCCUGGCUCCCGAGCGACGCCGCUAGGGUUCGUUUCUCUGGAGCUCGGCUGCGCGCGGCGCUCGGUUGGCGAUUUUGGGCACUUAUGGCGGGGCUCGGGUUGGCCGCGGCGGGCUCGCGCGGGAAGAUGAAACAUCCUGGCGUCAUUUCACACCCUCCCCAACCCUCGUCUAUAAGUAGACCCACAGCGGUCUCACUCCGUUCCUUCUCCUCUCCGAGCUCAAUCCACUUCUUCCUCAUGAGAGACCGGUGGCGGCGGCUCACUGGGCCGUGGUGGUGGUGUUCUCCUGUGGGCGGCGGUGAACUCCUUCGCCGUUUCGGGUGCUUGUUCGUGUGCUGCUGCCGAGACUCCGAGGAGGCGGUCUUCUACCUCUACUUCGCCUUCUUCUUCCUCUCCGUCGGAUCUGCAACCUCUUCUUCCUCUACUGUCGGAUCUGCAACCUCUACUUCCAGUUCUCCUUCCUCUGUCGUCAAACGACCCCGAGGCUAAGGUGAAAUCCUGAUUUUUUAUGUGCUGUAUUGUAUGAUGUUCAAUCUACUAGAGUUUGCUUUCAAGAUUGUUAUUUUACUUGUGUAUCUGCUCUGUUUAGGGUAGAUCUAUGAGCUGGUAUUUGCUUGAGAUGUGUGAGAUGCUUUCUGUGAGUUGUGAUCUGUUUCGUUCAUUUCUGAGUUGCAUUCAAUGGUCGAUGAUGUAGUUCGCAGUGUGCACUGGGAGGCAUUUUAUUUUGCAGCCGUGCACAGAACAAAUUUUUAUUGAUUCAUGUUGCAAACAAGUUGAUGCAUAGCAGGGUAUGAUUAGCUGAACUAUUCUUAAAUGGCAUGCAUGUAGAUGGAUCCCUCUUUGCGCCGGGAAAUGAUGCGUAGGCAGGCUGCUGCUAUGACUAUUGUGAUGGUGUCUUUUGUAAGCACUAAAAGUCCUGAACCUGGUACUGAGCCUGACCCCUUAACCCCUUGGAUUAGAGAGGAAAAUGAGCUGCACAGGUAGAGAACACUGGCACUUAUUUACAACUCCGCUGAUGUAGAGUGCAUAUCCAUGCUUAGGAUGAGAAGAUCAGCUUUUUUUGCUCUCUGUGAUUUGCUUAGGCACAGGCAGUUGGUGACAGAUAGGGAGGGGGUGUCUGUUGAGGAGCAAGUAGUUAUGUUCCUUCAUGUGGUUGGUCACAACCAAAGGUUUAGGGUGGUAAGACAUUCAUUUAGGAGAUCCAUUGAGACAGUGCACAAGCAUUUUCAUGUGGUCUUGAAUGCUGUUGGUGAGCUUAGGACUGAGGUCAUUAGGCCACCUAGCACAGCCACUCCUGCCAAGAUCCUUGGGAGUAGGUCUGGGAAAAUUACAACGUUAUCUGUACCCGAAUUACCCGGAUCCGGACCCGAAUUACCCGAACCCGAGGUACCCGAUCCUAAAUUCGGAUAGUGAUUUUGAUUACCCGAAAUUAGUUUGGGUAAUUCAGGUAAUAUCUUCCGGUACACGAACUACCCAAAUUACCCAAAUAUUUGUCUAUAUCUUUGUAUUUAUCAUGUGUUGUUAGUUAAAUAUUAGAACAUAUCAAUUUAUUAGAACAUAAUUCUCUUUGUUUGAACAAGUGAUAGUAAUAUACUAUUUUUAAAAAAAUGCUAUUGAAAUUCUAUACAAAUUGCUGCUGAAAUUUAUAUAUAAAUUGCUAUUGAAAUUUUGUAUAGUGUGUUGUUUUUUGAAAUUUCGGGUAAAUCAGGAAUACCCGAACCUGAACCUGAAUUAUCGGGUACCCGAAAUUGUGGGUACUGUUUUUUCAGGACUAAUAUCGGAUAACAAUUUUCAUUACCCGAAUUUUGAAUUACCCGACCCGAAAAAAUCGAGUAACCACCCGAAUGCCCAGACCUACUUGGGAGUCCUAGACGGAAUCCAUAUCUUAAGGUAAUUGUUUAGCUUGGGUUGCUGGUUUCAAGAAGAACAGCUACCAAGGGUUUCCAACAAAGGAAGAGGCAGUAGCCUCUUUCUUAGAGUACAUGGACUGUGAUGAAGAUGCCAUGGAAACCAAACUCUUUUCCAAACAACAAGGCAUCACUGAGCCCAAGCAAGUUGUUGGUACAAUGAACAUUUUCCUUCCUAUAGCUAUAUCUCUGUUUGUGCUUUUGCUGGCCAUGCUUAUGUAUAUAUCUAAAUCUUGUUGCACUUGUCCUGCAAAUAAGUAGGUCAUGCAGCUGUUUUAUGGUGACCUGGUAUGUUCUAUACCAAGGUAGGCACCCUGGUGUCUACUCUAACUGGACAGAACUAUGUUUGGCACUUGCUGGAGGUGACAAUAACUUGUAUCAGGCUUUCAAAACAAGGGAGGAAGCUGAUGCUGCUUUUCUAGCUUUCAGAUUAAGUAUUGUCUGCUGAACUACAUUAAUUGAAAUGGGUAAUGAUGUUAAAACUGAGGCCCAAUUUAGAUGUUGUAACAAGGAACAUUUGUGUGUGUUUUAUGUUUAUUUGCCUGCAUCUCUGCAUGCUUCAGUUCAAAACAUGUGAAUUGCUGUAUUUUGAUCAGAGGCUUGGCCGAGUUUCAUAUGUGCCAAACACAAUCUCCAAAAGGUAGUUGAGGCAGUUGGCCUGUUAGCAUGACUCCCAAGUUUCAACUGCUCCACAAACAUCAGCUACCUUAGGUCAGGCUAGUUUCAUACAAUGACACAAACAACAGCACUUGCUCUAAACAAGCCUGGCUUGGCUGAGCCUGGGUCUAAUGGGCUAGCCAGGCUGAGCUGGUACACCCUCACAAACGUGCCUAUAGAGCGUCCCAGCUGCACCAACCAAAAGACAGCUAAUAGAGGCGUAGAGCAUAGCAGAGCAGAGCCACUGUCCCACAGAGAGUUCUCCGAUCCAUUACACGCACACGCACAGAGGAGGCCAGCGCUUACUUCUAGGCGUGGUACGGUGGCCAUGGCUUUGGACGCCACAUCCGCGCCGGCGGUGUCCGUCCCUGACCUCGACGUCGGCACGGCAGCGAGGCGGUCGUCGUGGUCCGAGGACGGCGCCAACGACGACUACGCUUCGUCCGCGGCGGCGCGGCGGUGGCGGCCUGCUUGUCCGUCGAUGUGCCGGUGCUGUUGAGCGACAACGAGAGGAGGAUGAAGCGGGAGCUGCUGGCGUGGGCCAAGGCCGUUGUAAACAUGGCAAUUAGCCAAUCGAUGCAGUGCUGAGUAGUACACUAGUACACGAUAUUUCUCCUCGAAGAAAAGUCCUUGCUUUGCCGCCGGUCCGAUGGAUUAUUAGGCCCGUGCUUUUUGUACCGGCCCGAUCCGAAAUAAACCUACAUGCUGUGUCUAGGCCAUCAGGCACGGUGGCCUGUUGGGGCACAGCGCGGUAGCAUGCGGGUCAUAUGGGCCCAUGUCCUAUUAGGCCGUGCCUAGCACGGGCCAAUGCCAUGCUAGGCCGGGCCGGUCCUGCUCAACUUUUGUACCACACCUUGAUUGCUGCUAAUUCAUUGAUAUCGUCCUUUACUUCUUUUUGUACAGUAUAUUUCUCUCUCUUUUUUUGAAAAGUAUGGAGAAUAAUUUCGUGUAUGUACUUUUUUCCAUCCAUGCCACUAUAUGAUUUGAACUCUGUCCUUUUUGCGCGAGCUGUGGCGAGCCGCAAUCUUCACUAGGCACAAGGGAAACCGUGCUCCCUCCGUUCCAAAUUAAUUGUCGCUUUUGGUUUUUAUGUCAUAAAUUUAGUUUGAUUUAUAAAAAUAGGUGCAAUAUUUACAUCUUCAAAUAAAUUUGUUAAAAAAACUAGAUUCAAAGAUCUUUUCAACAAUACCAAUUAUGUACCCUAAAUAUUAAUAUUUUUUAAUAAUUCCUCUUUCUUUGAAAGUUUCAAUUCCUAGAAUCCGUGUCAGUUAAACUUUUUUAAGUUUGACCAACUUUAUAGAAGAGAGUAUCAAUAUCUAUGACAUAAAAUGAGUAUCUUAUGAAAAUAUAUUGUAUGAUAAAUCUAAUAAUACUAAUUUGGUACAAUAAAUCUUAACGUUUUUUUAGAAAUUCGGUCAAAAUUUAAAGAGUUAGACUUAAAGGCAACUUUAGGAAUUCAAGCUUUUAUUCACGGAGAGAGUAUAUAUUUAGUCAAAGUUAUUUUUUGAGAAACGCAAACAACAGUUAUUUUGAACGGAGAGAAUAUAUUUGAAUUGUCGUGGUUUGGGACAGCCUAUGGCAGUGUCAUCUUGAUCUCACAUAGUAUUUGGGUAUCAUUGGCACACUACAAGAAAUCUACCAUGUUUUUUACGUUUCAUUUAUGAGACAUAAUAUAGGUAAUUUCCAGGAGGCACCUUUUUGUAUUGAUGCCAAACAUUUGGAUAUUAUUUGUGCAAAAUUGAUACCUGUAAUUGAAUUGUUGUGUGUAUUUUUGAAUAAAGAAUUGUUGUGUGUAUAGUGGUAUGAUGUGAUGACAUUUGAAUCAUGUCUAUGAUACGUGUUCGCUGUUCUGUGAAUGACUUAAAUAAAUGUAAGCCACUAUUAUGUAAACAUCUAUUUCCUUGUCGUGGGGUGUAAUGAUAAUAGGUUCGAAUCAUUCGAAAGGCACUUCUCCGUUGGUUCAAAUGCAUUUUUCUAUCAGUUUUUUUCCCCCUGCGAUAGGUUAAAAUUCCUUGGGCUGGCAUUUCCCUUUCCCUAUCAUCAAAGAACCAACAAAGAAAUAUUAUAGGUUCAAUAAGAAAAUAGGUAAACCGACAAAAAGAUUUUCUAGCCCUAUCACUUAUGUUUUAUUGGUAUUUUUCUGUCGACAACCCGAUAGUUUCCGAUGUUGAUUUCUGGUUAAUGGCUACGGCGUGUGCUCAAGCUGCCUCUUGGCACUUUAAGACAUGUAUGAUGUGAUCAAAAUGAAAUGAACUAUUCUUUGAUUAGCAUCAAUUCAGCCAUAUAGUGAGUGAGUUAACAAGUAAAAAUCCAAUCAAUAUAGAUUUUGUUCAAUAUAGAUUGUGUGUUAUAUUCCUUAUAGUAAACUUGGAAUAAAAUGAACUUCUAUUUUGCAUAUAUUUUAGUAUAUGAAAUACAGUGAGCAAAUUAAUAUUUUAGUAUGAUUAACAGUAAUAUUAUGGAUAGUAAGUAUACGAAAUAUAUUUUACAUACACCAGUAUCAUCAUCAUCAUCAUCAUCAUCAUGUAUCCAAACCGAGACAUUCUAUUCCAAGAGAACCGAAAUCGUCUCCGGAAUGAAAUUGACAAGCCUGCGUAAGAAAAAGACAAGAAAAAAAAAUGACGUGACAGUAGACGCUGUGGUGAAUUUCAUCGUAAUUUGUCAUAAGGGCCUGAUUAAUGGUCUAAUUAUUUUCUAUCGAAAAGCCAAUCUUUUAACCUAGCCAUUUGUUGGUUCAAAUCCACUUGGGUCAACCGAUUUCAACUCUAAUUUAGCUAGGCCAACCCCAUUUCAGCCUAUACCAUUUGGAGGCUUCAUAGGCUUGGCCCAUGUUCUAGCAUAAUUUAGGUGUAGCGCAGGCCCACAUUUUGUGUACGCUCAUAUUUGAUUUUUCCAAUACGGAGAUAUAACCUAGGCAAAUUAAGAAAGUUUGAUAUUUCCAUAGCGACUCUUUUUUUAAGAUGGAGGGAGUACAUGACAACCAAUAAAAGUCAGAUGGCAUAUAAGGUCUUGUUUGGUUUGGGAGUUAAACUUUAACUCCUAUCAUGUCGAAUGUUUAGACAUAUGCAUAGAGUAUUAAAUAUAGAUUAUUUAUAAAACUAAGAUCUUGUUUAGUUCACCCAAAAACUAAAAGCUUUUCAAGAUUCUCCGUCAUGCGGCACAUGCAUAGAGCAUUAAAUAUGGAUUAAAAAAUAACUAUGCAUAGAGUGCCUGUAAUUUGCGAGAUAAAUCUUUUGAACCUAAUUAAUCCAUAAUUGGACAAUAAUUACCAAAUACAAACGAAAGUGUUGCAGGUCAAAAUACAAAAAAAUGGAUCUAAACCAAGCCUAAAAACACAACUAGAAAGUAAUUCGCGAGACGAAUCUUUUAAGCCUAAUUAGACCAUAAUUGGAUAAUAAUUACCAAAUUAAACAAGAAUACUACAGUACCUGUUAAACUUUAAUACUUCUUGAUAAAAAGGGGUGCAAAUCCUCUUAAAAAACUUUAACAUCCUCAACCAAACACGCUGUGUAGCUGCCGGCGAGGCCUGCAGGGUGCAGACGCCAGACGGUGCAUGUGUAAUGUACGCCUCUGAACUGUCUGUACCGAGCGGCGAUCGAUGCUGUACAACUACAUUUCUAGUUUGCCAUGUACAAAGAGUUCUUUGGGUACCAUUUACAAAAGUACUCCAAUCUCGUGCCCAACCCUUGGUUAUCUGAACUAAAAUGUGUGGACGCGUCAUUAAGCAUUAACACAAACACUAUUGUGGUGCUUCGUUUGGUUAAUAAGCUAUGAUUGGCUGAUUUGUGUGAGAGAAAAACACUGCUAAAUGGCUAACAGAUUUGGCUAAUAAGCUCUGCAUGUCUGAAUUCUGUAAAUAAUUUUCUUUUAUUAUAUUAAUAACAUGCAGUAGGGGUGCACUCCCCUCCUGUUUCCGUUAAAAAAACAAACUAUAUGUAUAUGUAUCCUUUUCUUCUUUGAAUCGUAUGUAUAUGUAUCGUACUAUUGCACGGCAGCAGCGCAGAGUUCGAUCAUCCAGGCGUCAAUUGGGGCCAUUAUACAGACUUGAGGAGGACAGUAAAGAAGUCUGAACUUAUUUGCUAACGAAGUUCAUAUUAGAGAACUGAUUGUAACACCCGUAUAGUAUAAUCAAUCACUUUGUGACUACUUCCUCCAGCUCCCUGAGGCCCCCAACCCUCUGCUCAAUCUCCUCCAGCAGCUCCUCCCGCAGGAGCUCCUCCCUCGCAGACGCCUCCAGGUCCUCUUGCUGCAUGCCAAUGAACAUUCAUUGCACAGUGCAGGAUAUAUAUAUCAGUAAAGUUAUCUGUGGCUAGGCUAACAGCUGCUUUGAUUAUUCUUCAUGCAGGCACUGUGCAUGCAAAAGGUGCGUGCUUUGCUUACCCUGUCGUAGUACCAGUGCACGGUUCCAUCUCCACCCGCGCUCCUGUACGUGUCACUGUCGUAGA